CGCGGGGUAGAGCAGUUGGUAGCUCGUCGGGCUCAUAACCCGGAGGUCGUAGGUUCAAGUCCUGCCCCCGCUA
rnacentral:tRNA from 1 species